AGUUGUUCCAUGGGGGUUUGAGGUGUGGAGGAGGAGUCAACGGAGCUUGGUGUCUCUCUGGCUGAGGUUACGAGCCCUUUGACAUCUUAAAAAUCUCAUCCGACCCACAAGACAUCUCAGUGAAAUAGGUGUUAUUACUCGGACUUUUCAGAGGAAGAAUCGGACCUUCAGAAAAGGAACUGAGGUUGUUCACAUCACCUGUGUGUGGAGCUGAGACUGCAACAGAGCCUAUUCUUCUGACUUUAAGAUGAGUGCAUGCCUCCAGCUCCCAAAUGGCCACAAGGGUUGGAGUAAAAGUAAUUCUUGACGUCAAGCUAUUAGCUGAACUGACAUGUUUCUGAGCGGCUGCUCGCCUGAGGACUCACAGAACCACUCUAAGGAAAGGAGGAGUCAAUGCAUUCCUAGACUCACUGAAUCCAGGAAGUGGACAGAACCCUCACAUUCUCUGGCCCACACCUUCAAUAUUCAGAUGGGGGGAAACGCAGCCUACAGAGGAAUAUGGCACAUCCAAAAUCAGGUACUGAGUCAGGAUCAAGGCUGGGACUUCACCCACUUGUCAUUGUCAUCUGCACAGACAUACUCACUUCUGCUGGCUUUUUAGCCACCAGCAAUAUUAUGAGAUCGUAACUACUCUAAAAGCCUCAACGUCACUGUGAGGCAAUGUAACAUUUUCCACCAGCAUGGACAGGGACAGAAGAACCAUGGAUGGAGGGAGGCCAGUAUGCUCCCAUCUCAGCUGUCAUUUUGCAUUUGAUCCCUUCUGUGCCAGCAACUGGAUUUAUUGCUGGUUAGAACAGUGACUCACGGUCCUUUGACGCCAACCAACUAAUUUAUCCUGCUAUGCUUAGUAGGUACAAAUGUUUAGCAUGUGGUCAAAAAUAGAGAUCCCUCACCCUCCACCCCGUCAUCCCGGCCCUUAACUCUUGCUUGAGCUAAGGACUUUCUCAAACCCACGUCAAACUUUUGCCUCAAAUGUAAUUGGCUUUAUUUUAGGUAUCACUGACUUGUAACCCAGUCAUGAAGGCUAGCAAAAUAUAAAAGGCAAGACUCUCACCUAGGAGUUCCCUGCCCCAAGUCUAUCCUCACUUCUUUUUUAAAACUGAUUUGUCACCUUUGGCAACUCAUUUCUUCUCUCUGAGCCACAUUAUCCCCAAAUGAGAGGGUUAAAUUGGGUGAGUUUUGGUGGAUUGUCUAUUUUAAGGAGGUUCUUAUAAGAUUAUGCUUUUAUCAGAGGCAUCUUGCUACAUCUCAGGUUUUCUCUAUCAUCCUGAUAUGCUUUGGGGAUGAGGCUCUGUUCUCAAUGGAGUUCUGCUCUAUUUCUAAAAUGAUGAGGAGCUCCUUGAAAGCUAAGAACGAUGUCAGUUUAACCUGGGUGAAAUUAACUUCAGGAUUAGCAAUGGGGGCACAACAAACUUCAGAACUUGACAUGAUUUAAGUUUUCUCUCUUGCAUUACAGUAUUUCUUUUGAAACCUACUUCCCAGGCCAAAUGGACAGGGCACCCACUGUAAGCAUCUAAGAAGUGAAAAUGAAUUCAGAGGAAAACCCUACAGGGCUAAAAAUAAAUGAGGUGUUUUAUUUUAAAAGUCACAGAUAGCUUUGACUCUGGAGAGCUGGCUGUGUAUUGAUUUUUCUAACAUGACUGUGAGAACUUGGGUCUGAAACUUGAGUCUCUCCAUCUACUUAUUCAGCUAGUAUUUCUUAAGUGCCUGUGUAGUGCCAGGCAGUUUGCUAUGGCUGUGGGAAAACAGCCAUAAUAUUAAUACUACCCUGAUCCUAAAAAACUUAAACUCUUCCAGAGAUGAUUUGGCAGGUGCCCAGAUCAUUAGGUUUUUGUUUGUUUUGCUUUUCAGGGCCGUACCUGUGGCAUAUGAAGUUCCCAGACUAGGGGUCGAAUUGGAGCUACAGCUGCCAGCCUACAGCACAACCACAGCAACUCGGGAUCCGAGACUUGUCUGUGACCUACAUCACAGCUCACGGCAAUGCCGGUUCCUUUAACCCAUUGAGCGAGGCCAGAGAUCACACCUUCAUCCUCAUGGAUACUAGUGGGGUUGGUAACCUGCUGAGCCACGACGAAACUCCCGGGAUCACUGUAGUUUAAGGCAGUGGCUUCAACACCAGGAGAAAUCUUGGGGCUUCAGAGGAGGGUAACAUUCUGUUUCCCUGACGGUGCUUCCCAGAGAGAGUGGCAUCCUCAGUCUUGAUGGGGAUCAGCAAGAUUUUAAUUCAGUGUCAAUAAGCCAGAGAUGGGGGAGCUUGCCUCUUUGUGAUUCUUUUUUUUUUUUCCUUUCAUCUAUAGAAUGUGAUAAUAAUAGUAUCAGCCUCAUAGACUUGUGAGUAAUAUGUGAUUUCAUAUGUAUUAAAGCUCUUAGAAAAGUUCCUGGAACAUUGUAAGUGCUCAAAAACAUUAAUCAUUAUUUUUAUUCUUAGCAUCAGAGUAAAAUUACCCUCAAAGUUUCUUACAGUCUCAAGAGCGAGAUCCAUGGAGGGAAGCCCCGUACCCAUUGACUUUCUUCUAGGUUACAGUAAAGCCCCUCUGGUCUUCGCAGGUGUCUAGGGUGCAACUCACAACUGUACUGUCACUUUCUCCAUCUCCCCCAACUUGUCUUUCUCUGUCUUUCAACCUCUAACACACACACACACACACACACACACACACACACACACGCACACAUGCAUGCACACACAAAAAGUGCUUCUCUCUGUAGGAGCUGGACUGUUUAUCAAAAGCUCCAGGUGUAGGAGUGUUUCAAGUGAUUUUUGGAAACUGAUAUAAUUUCAGAGAUAAUAGGCAUCAAGACUGUGGGUGUGAAAUACAAACAAUAGGUGAGUUCAUAUCGACAUCUUUACAUUGAGGAGAGGUGGGUUUUCCUUUUGAUUGCUUUUUUUUUUUUUUUUUUCUUUUCCAAAAGCAUCACAUCAAGACAUACAACACAGGGGUGUAGCUGAUUAAUUGUAAGAAGGACUCAAUCUCUUUUGAGCAUGGCUUGGUCCUCCUUCAGGCAUGGCAGCCUACAAAAAUGAAUUUGAUAUGAGUCAUUUAUUUUACAUAAACCAAAGAGGUUACCCCUAAGAUGAACUGUCUGGCUUACUGUUCCCCACCCCCACCGAGUCCCACACACCAUCGCAGGAAGGCAUUAGCAGUUUCAAAACUUGAACUUUCUCUCAAACAUUUCUUUACUUGAACCAAGCAGAAUUUCUACAUUAAAAAAAUAAUUGUCACUGUGCCAGUUGUAUUGAAUGAUUAUGGACAUGUUGUCCUUUCAGUUGAGAUAAUAUUUCUCACUUACCAUCUCUGUGGCAAAUAGUGGAGAGAGGUUUGUGCUCCUGGAUCCAGCUGUGGGUUUUUCUUUUUUUUUUUUUCUUCUCUCUGGUCACACUGAAAAUGGACAAGUGAUUGUGAGAGGCCGACCAAGAUUUCUUGGUACCCCAGGAUUAGGGUUGUUGCAGCUCAUUUGUUCACCCCACACCUCUUCUGUUUUACAGAUGGAAAGACUGAGGGCCAAAGAGAGAAAGUGACUUGCUGAAGGUCACGGAGGGGUUAGAAUCUAGGUUUUCUGAAUCGCAGUCCUGGCUUCUAAUAAUAGAACAAAAGAUUAAAACACUAGCCUAUAACCACAGUGCUCUUAUAAAAUGUAGUGAUAUGAUACAAUAAUAUCUGGCUUGAAAUGGUUGUUAUGGGCAUAAAUAAGAUAAUGAAUGUAAAAUCUUCAUACAAAAUCUUAAAACACAACCUAGGUGUUUGAUAAAGACUGUAGAACAUAUACCCAAAUCAAGGAAAAAAUAAGAAUUGUAUUCUUCUUGCAAAUAAAACAGAAGUUCC
rnacentral:lncRNA from 1 species